GAUGAACGCUGGCGGCGUGCCUAAUACAUGCAAGUCGAGCGAACAGAUGAGGAGCUUGCUCCUCUGACGUUAGCGGCGGACGGGUGAGUAACACGUGGAUAACCUACCUAUAAGACUGGGAUAACUUCGGGAAACCGGAGCUAAUACCGGAUAAUAUAUUGAACCGCAUGGUUCAAUAGUGAAAGACGGUUUUGCUGUCACUUAUAGAUGGAUCCGCGCCGCAUUAGCUAGUUGGUAAGGUAACGGCUUACCAAGGCAACGAUGCGUAGCCGACCUGAGAGGGUGAUCGGCCACACUGGAACUGAGGCACGGUCCAGACUCCUACGGGAGGCAGCAGUAGGGAAUCUGCCGCAAUGGGCGAAAGCCUGACGGAGCAACGCCGCGUGAGUGAUGAAGGUCUUCGGAUCGUAAAACUCUGUUAUUAGGGAAGAACAAAUGUGUAAGUAACUAUGCACGUCUUGACGGUACCUAAUCAGAAAGCCACGGCUAACUACGUG
rnacentral:rRNA from 1 species